rnacentral:tRNA from 1 species
AGACAACAAAAUGUUAAAUAUUAAUUUUGUCACCUUAGGUCGAUCGGUAUCUCACAUUCUUAGUUUAUUUAAGAAUUUUAUUUCCUAAGUUUUUUCUAGGUCACACCCAUUAUUUUCCUGGGCCAUUAGCUCAGGUGGUUAGAGCGCACCCCUGAUAAGGGUGAGGUCCCUGGUUCAAGUCCAGGAUGGCCCAUAUCUCUAUGUUGGGGGUAUAGCUCAGUUGGUAGAGCGCCUGCUUUGCAAGCAGGAUGUCAGCGGUUCGAGUCCGCUUACCUCCACUGAUCACCACCUCUUCCAUACAUUUAAGAAGGGAAAUUUUUUGAGUUGUGAUCAAAUUCUGAACGAAUCUAGCUUCCUAAUAUUUUUAUUAAGAUGCUGGACUCAUUGAAUUAAUUUCAUUGUUUUCAGAGAACCUUGACAACUGCAUAGAUUAUUUUAAAGACAAUAAGCAUCAAUAAUGAUGCAGAUUUAUUAUUUGUGCAAAUGCAUUAAUAACAAUUCUAUUAAGCUGAUGCUUCAAUUUUUGAAGUUAUU